ensembl:lncRNA
AUGCAGCCUGAGUCUCACCUGAGUACUGGAGCACUUUUGCCGGCUCUGUACUAUACUGUGUGUACCUGUUGUGCAGGUACCUCCCAGGGCUCCAGCCAGCCCAGCGGCCCAUUGGGAACCUUCUCCACCGUGGGCAACCUGAGACGCUUCAGCCUCCACACUGACAAUCAGACGGGAUUAUGGGAGAUAUCGGUUAAUUCCAAUGAUCCCUACUCGCUCAAAGUCACUGGUCAAAGUUCAGUGAACUUCAUCUUUAACCUGAUGGAGGUGCAUGAGGGAGGCCACGGGGGCUACAAUCUGAAAGAGGGCCGCCCGCUCACAGGUGAAACCCUGCUGUCUCCUCCACUAGCGUGGGAACCAAACCUUCAAGGAAAUGAACUGGUUUGUGUACAAACUGGUUGGUUGGUCUAACUAGUCUGUGCUUCUGACUGGUUGGUUUGUCUAACUGGUUUGUAUUUCUGACUGGCUGGUUGGUCUAAUUGGUCUGUGCUUCUGACUGGUUGAUUGGUCUAACAACUGGUUUGUGUUUCCGACUGGCUGGUUGGUCUAAUUGGUCUGUGCUUCCGACUGACUGGUUGGUCUAAUUGGUCUGUGUUUCCGACUGGCUGGUUGGUCUAACUGGUUUGUAUUUCUGACUGGUUGGUUUGUCUAACUGGUUUGUGUUUCUGACUGGUUGGUUGGUCUUAUUGGUCUGUGUUUCUGACUUGCUGGUUGGUCUAACUGGUUUGUAUUUCUGACUGGUUGGUUGUUCUAAUCUGUCUGUGUUUCUGACUGGUUGGUUGGUCUAACUGGCCUGUGUUUCUGCCUUGUUGGUUAGUCUAACCGGUUGGUUGUGGCAUGUUUUGUCUAUCUAAAUUCCAUUGUAGUUUGUGUCCAGCCGCUGAGUCUCGAUUUCUCUUUUCUCCUCCAGGAGGCAAUGCUAGCCUACUAGUGACAGUGACAGGAAGUGACGCCGCAAAGCUCACUGAGGUUACUCUGGUCGAAGGCUCAGGGUCACGCCAGGUCAAUGGAUCAAUUCGGGUAAAAUGCGGAAUUUGAAUUUCCCACUUUUUUUUCUCUCACUUUUUCGAACCACCGAGCGACCCUGACUCGUGUAUAGAACCUCCAUGCAAUCAAUCCUCCACCUCUGGCUUUAGAGGAUGCAGUCAAGUGUUUUGGUUCCUGCCCUCCACAGGCGCUGGGCAACAGUAACUACCUGGUCACCUUCCCCAACGUGCCAGAGGGGGAGUUUUCGGUGCGUCUGAGGGGUGAAGAGAGUGCCAGCACCCCCUCAAGAUCCACGUCAGCCCCCGGCACCUUCCAACGCCAGGCCAACACCCAGAUCAAGACUUCCAGCAUCUCCGUCUCUGUGAGCACUCCCUCUCCUCCUGACCAGCCCAACCUCACCACCACACCCCUCCAGUGUAGCCUCAGUAGCUCCAGCCACUCAUGUGCUAACACCUAAAAACUGUCCCAUCGAAUGUAGUUCACUUCUCCUCUUCCACCACUGCAUAGACCCUCUGUAUUUAUUAUUCAUUUUUAUUUGUGUUGUUGUACUUCUCGCUGUGCUGUCUUGCUCCGUGUGUGCUCCCAUGAAUCUGUAAAGCCACCUUGGUGUGAGAAAGGCUCCAUAUAAAAUAAACGUAUUAUUAUUAUUGUUAUUAUUUAGUAGUGGUGGCCAAACAGUUGCUUAGAAUAACCCAAGUGUGAGCGGGCAUCCGAACCAGCUCACCCUGAAU